GACGAACGCUGGCGGCGUGCUUAACACAUGCAAGUCGAACGGAAAGGCCCUGCUUUUGUGGGGUGCUCGAGUGGCGAACGGGUGAGUAACACGUGAGUAACCUUCCCUUGACUUUGGGAUAACUUCAGGAAACUGGGGCUAAUACCGGAUAGGAGCUCCUGCUGCAUGGUGGGGGUUGGAAAGUUUCGGCGGUUGGGGAUGGACUCGCGGCUUAUCAGCUUGUUGGUGGGGUAGUGGCUUACCAAGGCUUUGACGGGUAGCCGGCAUGAGAGGGUGACCGGCCACAUUGGGACUGAGAUACGGCCCAGACUCCUACGGGAGGCAGCAGUGGGGAAUAUUGCACAAUGGGCGGAAGCCUGAUGCAGCAACGCCGCGUGCGGGAUGACGGCCUUCGGGUUGUAAACCGCUUUCGCCUGUGACGAAGCGUGAGUGACGGUAAUGGGUAAAGAAGCACCGGCUAACUACGUG
rnacentral:rRNA from 1 species